GUGGGGGAUAUUGCACAAUGGAGGAAACUCUGAUGCAGCGACGCCGCGUGAGUGAAGAAGUAUUUCGGUAUGUAAAGCUCUAUCAGCAGGGAAGAUAAUGACAGUACCUGACUAAGAAGCCCCGGCUAACUACGUGCCAGCAGCCGCGGUAAUACGUAGGGGGCAAGCGUUAUCCGGAUUUACCGGGUGUAAAGGGAGCGUAGACGGAAUGGCAAGUCUGAAGUGAAAUCCUGCGGCUUAACUGCAGAAUUGCUUUGGAAACUGUCAAUCUGGAGUGUUGGAGAGGUAAGCGGAAUUCCUGGUGUAGCGGUGAAAUGCGUAGAUAUCAGGAAGAACACCGGAGGCGAAGGCGGCUUACUGGACAAUAACUGACGUUGAGGCUCGAAAGCGUGGGAAGCAAACAGGAUUAGAUACCCUUGUAGUCC
rnacentral:rRNA from 1 species